CCGAGUUUACAACUCCCAAACCCAAUGUGAACGUUACCAAACUGUUGCCUCGGCGGGGUCACGCCCCGGGUGCGUAAAAGCCCCGGAACCAGGCGCCCGCCGGAGGAACCAACCAAACUCUUUUCUGUAGUCCCCUCGCGGACGUAUUUCUUACAGCUCUGAGCAAAAAUUCAAAAUGAAUCA
rnacentral:misc_RNA from 1 species